UGAGUCAGCACUGGCAGGGGCCCCAGGAACUGGGGACCGGGGUUGUGUAGGGAGGAGGGCAGUUCCCACGCCCUAAGGCGUCUGGGGCGCUGGGGCUUCCCCCACCGCUCCUCCCAUCCUGUGCUGGGCUCUGGGGAUCUUCAGAGGAGUCUGGGGGGUGAGAAGCCCAGGGCGGAUUGGCCACUGGGCCAGGAUCCAGGAAUCUUCUCUCCUGGUCUGACCCAGUUCUGGAAUGCAGAGGCCGCCCGCCCCGGCAAAUGCGUUGCAGCAAGAAGGAGAGUUAGACGUAGAGAAACACCGAGUUUCAGAGGUGCCGGGAAGUCUGAGCCUUCGCCCUCCUGCUCUCCCUCAAUGUCCACCUAAGAGGCCGCCUACACCUGGGCAAGGGCACCCGGGCUCAGCUGGAUUUCCAGGAAGACCCACCCUAUGAGGACCACUCCCACUCCCAGACCCUCCCCCCAGCCUGAGAUUGAGCCCUGGGAAUGCCCUGGGGUUGGCGAGGGAACAGCUGAAAUCGCCCGUCCUUGGGGACCCUGUCCUUUGUGCCAUCUGCCAUCUCCCCAGUGCUGGGCAUCCAGUCAGCACUCAAUAAAUGCUUAUGAAUGGAUCAACAACA